GGCGCUGCGGGGCCGGCCCGGGCGCGGCGCGGCGCGGCGCGGAGGAAGUGCCGUCUUCGCUGCCUCGGCCGCCUCAGGCGCCUCAGGCGUGCCGCGGGUCGCCUCAGCCGCGCGGGCCGCGAUGUCUUCCCGGCCCGGGCGUGACGACGCGCGAGCCGGAGGCGCGCGGCGGCCGCGGGAGUCGGCCGAGCAGGAGCUGCAGCGGCGCCGAGAGCAGAAGCGGCGGCGGCACGACGCGCAGCAGCUGCAGCAGCUCAAGCACCUGGAGUCCUUUUAUGAGAAACCUCCUCCGGGGCUUAUCAAGGAAGAUGAGACUAAGCCGGAAGACUGUAUACCAGAUGUACCAGGCAACGAACAUGCCAGGGAAUUUCUGGCUCACGCACCAACUAAAGGACUUUGGAUGCCACUCGGGAAAGAAGUCAAAGUUAUGCAGUGCUGGCGUUGUAAGCGGUAUGGUCACCGAACAGGCGACAAAGAAUGCCCUUUUUUUAUCAAAGGCAACCAAAAAUUAGAACAGUUCAGAGUAGCACAUGAAGAUCCCAUGUAUGACAUCAUACGAGAGAAUAAAAGACAUGAAAAGGAUGUAAGGAUACAGCAGUUAAAACAGUUACUGGAGGAUUCCACCUCCGAUGAAGAUGGCAGCAGCUCCAGCUCCUCAGAAUGUAAAGAGAAACACAAGAAAAAGAAGAAGAAAGAAAAGCAUAAGAAAAGGAAAAAAGAAAAGAAGAAGAAGAAAAAACAAAAGCAUAAGUCUUCCAAGUCGAAUGAGAGUUCAGACUCGGACUAAGACUUGACCUAUUCCAUGUUCUCCUCUCAAAAAUCAGACACUGUGGCCCCAGGCCAGAGGGUGUGGAAUCGGGGAGGACUUGGAGACCCCAAGAGAGCAGGGCAUUCGGUGUCACGCGUGUGAAUUCUCACCUGCCUUCCAGCGAAGACGUGACCCCUGGAGGACCGCUGAGCCCAUAAAGCUCAUCAAUCAAAAGUUCUUCAUCCUGAAAUCUCUCCCUUCAGACUCAGUACUCUCCAGUCCUAUUUAGAAAAUCAAGAGAAGUCACCAGAACUCCUUCUACCAAGGGCUGUGAUAGGAUGGAAAAAAUGGAUUCCUACACACUGAUGAGAAAUGACAGCAGAGGCAAAUGAGACUUUAAGAAGACUAAAGGAGAAAGAUCCCACAGGAAGAGGAGAGAAGAGGAACCACUGUGACAUACACAAGGAGAACUCCAGCCAACACUAACACCAGACCUCAGGACAAGCUAGUUGACCAGAGCCUAACUGAUCAGGGUGUAAGCAAAUACUUAUCUCAAACCACCCUAACCACCCUUCCCUGCCCAAUGGGAGAAGGCAUAGUUCAUAGUCCAAAGGCACAAUCUCACUAAAAGACUGAGACCUAAAAUCACAGUCCUUCUAUAACCAUGGCACUAUGGUCCCUGUCCUACCUCCACAACUUACCAUGUCACUAAAAGCCUAUUUAGAGCACUUCCUUUUAUGCAGUACAGAAUGCCUGGCAAUUAAUAAAACAUUACAAGACACCCUAAAAGGCAAAAACUGUAUUGUCUACAAAAAAAAAUUCACUUUAAAUAUGAAGACAGGAAUGGAAAAAGAUGUACCAUGUUAAUACUAAUCAAAAGAAAGGGGACAAGCUGUAUUUCUUUCAGACAGAGCAGACUUCAGACCAAGGAAAGUGAUCAGGGAUAAAGAGUGGCAUUACAUGAAACAUCAAUUCUUCACUGAAACGUAACAAUCCCUCCCUAAGGUGCAUGCCCUUAACAGAGGGUGAAACUAUGUGAGGCCAAAAGUGAUAGAAAUACAUGGAGAAAUAGAAUGACCCACUAUUACCACUAGGAGAUUUUAAUACUCCUGUAUCAGAAUAGGACAGAUGUGGCAGGUGUACAAAAUCAGUAAGGACAGCUGAACUCAACAGUACCCUUAACAACUGGAAAUAAUGGACAUCCACAGACUUCUUUAUUCAACAGAAUACACAUCUCAUACCCACAUGGAGCACUCACCAAGACAGUACAUACUGUAGGCCAUAAAAAAACACUUUUACAAAUUAAAAAGUAUAUUAAUCAUACAGUGUCUGCUCUUAGCCUACAACUGAAUGUAGAAAACAAGGAUAGCUGUAAAAUCACCUAAUACUUUGAGAUUAAAUACUAAGUAACACUGAGUCAAUGAAGAAAUCUCAGGAGAAAUUUAAAGAUUUUGAGCUAGGGGUGCCGGGUGAGUCAGUCAGUUAAGCGUCCAACUCUUGGUCUCACCUCAGGGUCUUGAUCUCAGGGUCAUGAGUGGCACUGGCACUGGGCUCUGUGAUAAGCACAAAGCCUACUCAAAAAAAAAAAAAAAAGAAAAAAAAGAUUUUUGAACUAAAUGAAAUAGAACUUGUCAAAAUUUGUUGGAUGACAUGGAAGUAAUGAUUAGAGGGAAAUUUACAAAAUUGAAAAGAUUUGAAAAUCAAUUAUAUAGUCUCUAUCUCGGAAACUAGAAAAUAAAGAGCAAAUUAAAUUCAAAGAAUAAGAAAAUAAAAGUUAAAGCAGAAUUAAUGAAAUUGACAACAGAAUCAAUAAAAAAAUAAAAAAGCUGGUUCAUUGAAAAGAUCAAUAAAGUUGAUAAACCACCAGCCAGCUUACUGAGUGAAAAAGGGGAAGACACAAAUGACUAGUAUCAGAAAUGAAAGAGGGUGCCACUUCAGAUCCCAUGGACAUUAAAAAGAUAGAAGGAAUACUAUGAACUCUAUUACCACAGCUUUCAUAACCUACACAAAAUGGACCAAUUCCUUGAAAGACAGAGUUUGCUAGACUCAUACAAGUAGAAAUGGACAUCUGCAUAGACCUAUACCUAUUAAAGAAAAAAUCAACUGAUAACCUUCUAGAACAAAAAGUACAGGCCCAGAAGGGCCCAUUGAAGACUACCAAACACUUAAGAAGUUACCAACAGAUCAAUAGGAUAGACUGGAGAGCCCACACCCAGACCUGUGUAAUUAACCGAUGUUUGACAAAGGAGCAAAGACAAAACGAUGGAGCAAAGAUGGUCUUUUCAACGAACCAUCCUGGAACAACUGAACAUACACGUGCAAAAGUGAUUCUAGAAAAAGACCUUAAACACCCUUCACAAAAAUUAACUCAAAAUGGACCACAAACCUCAAUGCAAAAUGCAGAAACUAUAAGACCUAGAAGAUAACAGAAAACCUGCAUGUCCUUAAGAAUAGUGAUGACUUCUUAUACAAAAUACUAGUGGCAUAUAUGAUGCAUGCAAGAAAGAACUGAAAGCUGACCAUUAAAAUUUAAAACUCUGCAAAAGAUACUGAUACUGUCAACUGAGUGAAAAGUCACAGACUGGGAGAAAAUACUGAUAAAGGACAGUUACCCAAAAUAUACAAAGAACCCUUAAAACAUUAAGAAAAUAACCCAAUUAGGGGGUGCCUGGGCGGCUCAGCCAGUUAAACAUCCAUCUGACUCUUGAUUUUGACUCAGCUCAUGAUCUCAUGGUUCACGAAUUCAAGCCCCACAUCAAGCUGUGUGCUGACAGUGUGGAGCCUGCUUGGGAUUCUCUCUCCCACCCUGUCUGCCCCUCCCCUGCUCAUGCUGCCUCUGUCUCUCUCAAAAUAAAUAAACUUAAAAAAGAAAGAAAAAAGAAAA